GCGACAUUAGCUCAGUUGGGUUAAUUAUAAGAGUCGAUACCCAUCUUUUUCCAAGGUAUAGGUCAUCGGUUCGAACCCGAUAUGUCGCUCCA
rnacentral:tRNA from 1 species